ACCUGUGAUAAAGGAUUAGGGUAAGACAGACAUAAAAACCAAUGACUUUAUUCACAUUAUGUGAAGCAUCUGAAGGGUAGUCAGACAAUUCAGGGCAUAUAGACAGCACACAAGGUGAUGUCUCUAGACAGUCUCAACAAGCCCAACUUAACUUACUUUAACAACAGGAAUGCACAAAGCUGUUGGUCUCUGCAUUGUGCUAUGCUGACUUCUACCAUAGAUAAAAACCUAGUAUUAGACAGUGAAUUCCAUUGUCACUUACUCCAUUAUCUGCUGCAUGAACAGUCAGCUGAGGACACUAAGAUAUUUGUGAAUAAUUCCUUAACUGAGAGGGGAAAAGUAUGAAUGCUGUAUGUUCUAAGACUACAGAAAAUGAGAAAGAAAUAAAUCAAAAAGCCCUUUUUUCAUGGAGCUCCUGAAAGGUAGAGAUAUUUUAAUUUGAGCUGAGAGCAUCUAGCACCACUUACUAAUCAGAGUCCAGACUCCCUACAGUUACAUCAAUGCUAAAUUUACAACUGCUUGACAAAAGCAAAAAAUUAUAUAAUAGGGAAUAAAAGUUGAAAUAAAAGUUUAUUUCCACUAAGCUUUCCAAACAUCAAAGCAUCUCUUCAUCACCCUCAAGAAGCUACUAAACAACAAAGUGGGAAAGGGUGGAGCAGAAAAAAAGAGCAACAAAAAGAAGCAGCACAAAAUAUGUUUGUGUAAUUUUCUGAAAAGGGCAAGAGAACAACUCAAUCAGAUAUUAAUAAUUGACCCUUAAGUGCUCUGUUUACACAGGACAGAGGGAAACUGACAGUAGGCUUGAGUAACAUUUGCUCUGUACAGAACUUACUCUUGCAGUAUUUGAUGUAAAAUAUUGCAUCUGACCUCAAGGCAAGAUGAAAGCAACUCAACAGUUCUUCUGCAGCAUAUCACACACUUUUUGUUUAAACAUUUACAUAUUCAGGAAUAGCCUUCAAAACCAGUUCUUGCCUCCUAUCCCACUCUCCCCAAACCAACACUUCUACACAGCAAUUGAAAUUUUCCUAAUCAAUUGUUCUGAAACUGAAUUUGGAUAACUGUCACACAGCUAACAUAAGGAAGAAAGAGGAGCAGCCAGAGAGCAGCAAAGAGCAAGCAAGGGCAGCUGCAACAACUGGAAGUUUUAAGCUGUUAGGUCGGUAUCACAAAACCUCCUGCCCAGCCCCACACACUACAAUAAAAUUUACUGCAGCCAUAUGACUUUAUUGCAUCCACUACAUGUUCCUCACAUCAGUGCUUCUGGAGAUUCUGAUUAGCUAAAAGAAAACCAAGUUUUUAAAAUUGCUUCCUGCAGUUCCUACACAAAGAGUAUUCAGGAAUACGAAUAAAGCACUUGGACUGAAAAAAAAUAUAGUGAGCUUUACAGAUGAACAGUGCACAAAUUUGACAACAAAAGUCAAAAGAUAAUUUUGCACAGUUUGGAAGAAUGUAUCCUAUUUGGACUUACCUUUAAGUCACACCUGACUCAAAUUAACAGGCAUGAGCUUGGUGGAGGGUAAGUGCCAUCCCACAGACAUUGUGGUUCCAAUUAAGGCUUGCUUGCAACAGCAGCCUAAUGAGUCUAAUGAGCUACUAUAUCUGACUGAGAUCUACAGCUUACUCUGGAUUUCAUCAAAUGAUCUCACAGAACAAAAGACUGAAAGCACAGCAAGUAAUUUAUCUGUAAUAAAUUUCAGAAGCCUUGAAAAAUUCUAAAGCCAAUUUCUUUCUAGCCAUAGAAUGCCAUCUUCCCACAAAAGAGGUACAGUGAUUAAUUGAUAGUAACAUAGUCAUAAAUUAGAUAAAGAUAUGCCAAGUUACCACUUUUUACAUUCCUCCUCUCACUAUGUUCCCUGGUUUUUAAGUGCCUGAAGAUGUGUAUCCAUUUCAUAGUGCACAUCUAAUCACCAAACAGCAGGUUAUUAUUGCAAUAAAGAAAAUCAGUAUUGGUUUUAUUUACUAUAAAUAUUAAAUGAUUCAAUCAGUUUAAACAGAAGAAGAUCAUAUACAAAACAAUUAGGUUUGGUUAAUAGAAAAGUAUAAAUAUCAAAACCCCAAGCUGGUAGAAUAGGUAAUAUGACUAAACAGCAACCACUUAAUUUAUGAGACUGGAGUACUCCAACAGUUGAAUUCCAGUUUCAAAAUAUCAGUGAUCUUCUUAGAUCUCUGUAAGUCAUUUUAAGACAAACUGUGCACAUAAAAGUACUUAAAAUGAGAUUACUUUUAUAUGUUAUACCUUACUGUAAGGAUCUAUGCCUUAUGUUUUAUUAAGCCUGAAGGGCAUCAGGAACAGAGAGGGAAUUUGCAUUCCCUGUGUGCUUUCUAUAAACCAACAAAAAGUAGCAGUGGCUUGCCUGGAACGUAUUUUUAUAUCUGAAGGAACCAGAGGACAGAGAAAUAUUGAUGGGAUGCAGGAAAAUGAAUGAAUAGAAACAAAAAAGAAUGAGUCAGGUACUGAGUGAUAAAAGCAGAGGAGAGAUGAAGAAAAGCUGGCAUUGGUAUAGAAGGAUACAGGAGCAAGAACAAAUGGUUGGGGACACUGGUCAGAGCUGAGUGGCUUGAGAGAGCAGGUAAGGGAAGAGACAAACAGGAAGGAACAAGGCAGAAUGUAAGCAAAAGGCAAGUGGUCCUCAACUUGUAGGUAAAUUUUCUGCUCCAGAAACCUCUGCCCCUUCUGCCCCCAGACCUCUACAACUUUCAGAGUCUUCAGUUUUUAGUGAACACUUAUAAAAGCUACCAGUAAAACAAAGAUCUAAUCUUUCACAAGGAAAUUACCUAUUACCUUCUUCCUUCUAUUUGUUUUCUAAUAAUUGUCCUCUGUGAACACAAAGGUCUCUACUCUCCUGAGAAUCUUGGAUCAGUUUUGUGUGUGGACAGGUUCCUAGGGCUGCAGACUCAGAAACACGAAGUGCUGCCUCACUGGACUAGAACUGUGUGUGAAUGCCUUUGCACUCAGCCUGAUUGGGAAUGGCAGACUGUCCUGCUGGGAGUCCCCCUUCAGAGAGGUGCCACUGUCACAUGACAGACGUUAUAUAUAGCACUAGAAACACAGAGAAGUUGGAAAUCUCAGAGCAGCAAAAUAGCCAUUUCAUCUGUAGUUUGCACAGUGAAUGCAGAAUGAAGACAGCUCUUAUAUGGGCCUUUUUAUAUGUAUAUAUAUACACGAACACAAAUUUAUAUAAAUCAUAGCCAUUAUUAAAAUUGAGGUACUGGGAUAACACUUAGGAUUACCGUUUCCUCGAACUAUGAAAAGACAAUAAAAAUUGCUCAUGCAUAUUCUUUAUACAUGAAUACUAUACUCCAGCACUGUGCUAUCUUGAGGUAACAGAAUCCUAGCAACAGAACCUUCAGAAGCUUUACUGGAAAACUACCUCAGAACUUUACUGGAACACUACCUGUCUA